GGCCGGGUCCUGCGCAAUUUGAGCCCGCGAACCUCGUCAGGUGGGGAACCAAGCAGCGAUAAACGGAGUCUUAAAUGUGAUGCAGGACUACCCGGUGUGA
rnacentral:SRP_RNA from 1 species